GGUUGUUGAGGCGGAUUCAAGUCUUGAGGUUGCCCUUCAGCCACCGCAUCCGCAUGUUGUCCCAUCCCUUCCUCAUCCUUGGCAUCACCCAUCUCUUUUCUUCCCUUGUAUUACCUGAAGUGUUGAAGUGGAACAAAGAGCGAAGAAGAAAACAGAGGAGAGAGAGAGAAUCACCGGUGACCCAGCUUCUUCGAUAAAAAACCCUAAUCC